UGAAGACAGCGACGAAUACCCAUUUGUUCCGAUAUUUGACCAGCGCCGUUAAUAUUGUGAGAGCUUCAACAUUACGAUUCCAAAACAUCAAAAAAUACACUCUUUUACCAUCAAACCUACGUAGUGUCAGCGGCUCACAUAUUUUCACUUACGGAAAAAUUUACUUACACAUAACCUAUCAUGACAUUGAAAAUAUGAUUUUGUUUUACAUUAUGCCAGAUGAAUACAUGUCAGAAGAUUU
rnacentral:sRNA from 1 species